rnacentral:rRNA from 1 species
AAGACCUUGCGCUUUUGGAGCGGCCGAUGCCUGAUUAGCUAGUUGGUGGGGUAAUGGCCUACCAAAGCUUCGAUCAGUAGCUGGUCUGAGAGGACGGCCAGCCACACUGGGACUGAGACACGGCCCAGACUCCUACGGGAGGCAGCAGUGGGGAAUUUUGGACAAUGGGCGCAAGCCUGAUCCAGCCAUGCCGCGUGAGUGAAGAAGGCCUUCGGGUUGUAAAGCUCUUUCAGCCGGGAAGAAAAGGUUGCGACUAAUAAUCGCAAUUUAUGACGGUACCGGAAGAAGAAGCACCGGCUAACUACGUGCCAGCAGCCGCGGUAAUACGUAGGGUGCGAGCGUUAAUCGGAAUUACUGGGCGUAAAGGGUGCGCAGGCGGUUUUGUAAGUCGGAUGUGAAAUCCCCGGGCUUAACCUGGGAACU